UGGGGAAUAUUGGACAAUGGGCGCAAGCCUGAUCCAGCCAUGCCGCGUGAGUGACGAAGGUCUUCGGAUUGUAAAGCUCUUUUUGGCGGGGACGAUAAUGACGGUACCCGCAGAAUAAGCUCCGGCUAACUUCGUGCCAGCAGCCGCGGUAAUACGAAGGGAGCUAGCGUUGUUCGGAAUCACUGGGCGUAAAGCGCACGUAGGCGGAUAGUUAAGUCAGGGGUGAAAUCCUGGGGCUCAACCCCAGAACUGCCUUUGAUACUGGCUGUCUCGAGGUCGAGAGAGGUUGGUGGAAUUCCUAGUGUAGAGGUGAAAUUCGUAGAUAUUAGGAAGAACACCAGUGGCGAAGGCGGCCAACUGGCUCGAUACUGACGCUGAGGUGCGAAAGCGUGGGGAGCAAACAGGAUUAGAUACCCCAGUAGUCCCUGAGCGGGCUGGCAAGGCGCAU
rnacentral:rRNA from 1 species